rnacentral:rRNA from 1 species
UACAGAGGGGGCAAGCGUUAUUCGGAAUUAUUGGGCGUAAAGGGCGCGUAGGCGGCCUGGCAAGUGGAAGGUGAAAUCCCUCGGCUUAACCGAGGAACUGCCCUCCAAACUGCUUGGCUUGAGUCCGGGAGAGGUGAGUGGAAUUCCCAGUGUAGCGGUGAAAUGCGUAGAUAUUGGGAGGAACACCAGUGGCGAAGGCGGCUCACUGGACCGGAACUGAUGCUGAGGCGCGAAAGCGUGGGGAGCAAACGGG